rfam:Picea glauca, whole genome shotgun sequence.
GUUUCCAAGUCUCAACAAGUGGAGAAACCACCCAAGUGUGGGGAAUUCAGGGUUUUCGAGUCUCGACCAUGGGAGAAACUACCCAAGUGUGGGGAAUUCAGGGUUUCCUAGUCUCGAUGAGCGAAGAAACCAGCCCAAGUGCGAGGAAUUCAGGGUUUCCAAGUCUCGACCAUGGGAGAAACCACCCAAGUGUGGGGAAUUCAGGGUUUCCAAGUCUCGAUGACUGGAGAAACCACUGAAGUGCGGGGAAUUUUUGGUUUCCAUUGUGGCAGUCGAGGAGCGAAGUGUGGGCCCUUGGGGUGGGCCACUGUGCACCUCCAUGCUCGUGGUGUUGGUUAGUGGGCUUUCCAUUCAACCAGUCUUGAAACACGGACCAAGGAGUCUAACAUGUGUGCGAUUCGGUGGGUUUGUAAACCUGUGAGGUGUAAGGAAGCUGAUGAGAAAUAACCCCUCUCCAUGGGGUGCAUUGUCAACCGGCCUUGAGCUUGUGUGAAAGGUUUGAAUGCAAGCACACCUAUUGGGACCCGAAAGAUGGUGAACUAUUCCUGAGCAGGGCAAAGCCAGAGGAAACUUUGGUGGAGGCCCGUAGCAAUACUAACGUGCAAUCAUUCGUCUGACUUGGGUAUAGGUGCGAAAGACUAAUAGAACCAUCUAGUAGCUAGUUUCCUCCGAAGUUUUUCUCGGGAUAGCUGGAGCUCACGUGCGAGUUUUAUCGGGUAAAGAAAAUGAUUAGAGGCAUCAGUGGCAUAACGCCCUUGACCUAUUCUCAAACUUUAAAUAGGUAAGACAGUGUGGCUGCUCCAUUGAGCCGUGCCACGGAAUCGAGAGCUCCAAGUGGGCUAUUUUUGGUAAGUAGAACUGGUGAUGCGGGAUGAACCAAAAGUCUAGUUAUGGUGCCAAACUGUGCGCUAACCCAGAUCCCACAAAGGUUGUUGGUUGAUUUAGACAGUAGGACGGUGGUCAUGGAAGUCAAAAUCCACUGAGUGUUUAAAAACUCACUUGCCGAAUCAACUAGCCCAGAAAAUGGAUGGGGCUGAAGCACACGACCUAUACUCGACCAUCGGAGCAAUUGUCAGGCUUCAAUGAGUAGGAGGAUGCAGGGGUCAUUGAGAAAACUUGGGCAUGAUCCUGGGUCGACCGGUCCCUAGUGCAGAUCUUGGUGGUAGUAGCAAAUAUUCAAAUGAGAACUUUGAAGACUGAAGUGGGGAAAGGUUCCUUGUGAACAACACUUGGACAUGGGUUAGUCGAUCCUAAGAGAUGGGGAAGCCCUGUAUCAAGGGUGCACUAUGCACGAACAUCAAAAGGGAAUCAGGUUAAUAUUCCUGAACUGGGACAUGGCGGCGGACGACAACGUUAGGAAAUCCGGAGACGUCGUCGGGGGCCCCGGGAAGAGUUAUCUUUUAUUUUUAACAGCUUGCCCACCCUGAAAUCGGCUCA